AGUGAACGCUGGCGGUAGGCCUAACACAUGCAAGUCGAACGGCAGCACAGUAAGAGCUUGCUCUUACGGGUGGCGAGUGGCGGACGGGUGAGGAAUACAUCGGAAUCUACUUUUUCGUGGGGGAUAACGUAGGGAAACUUACGCUAAUACCGCAUACGACCUACGGGUGAAAGCAGGGGAUCUUCGGACCUUGCGCGAUUGAAUGAGCCGAUGUCGGAUUAGCUAGUUGGCGGGGUAAAGGCCCACCAAGGCGACGAUCCGUAGCUGGUCUGAGAGGAUGAUCAGCCACACUGAGACUGAGACACGGUCGAGACUCCUACGGGAGGCAGCAGUGGGGAAUAUUAGACAAUGGGCGCAAGCCUGAUCCAGCCAUACCGCGUGGGUGAAGAAGGCCUUCGGGUUGUAAAGCCCUUUUGUUGGGAAAGAAAAGCAGCAGGUUAAUACCCCGCUGUUCUGACGGUACCCAAAGAAUAAGCACCGGCUAACUUCGUG
rnacentral:rRNA from 1 species